UACGUAGGGUCCGAGCGUUGUCCGGAAUUAUUGGGCGUAAAGGGCUCGUAGGCGGUUUGUCGCGUCGGGAGUGAAAACUCAGGGCUCAACCCUGAGCGUGCUUCCGAUACGGGCAGACUAGAGGUAUGCAGGGGAGAACGGAAUUCCUGGUGUAGCGGUGGAAUGCGCAGAUAUCAGGAGGGACACCGGUGGCGAAGGCGGUUCUCUGGGCAUUACCUGACGCUGAGGAGCGAAAGCAUGGGGAGCGAACAGG
rnacentral:rRNA from 1 species